rnacentral:lncRNA from 1 species
ACUGAAGGUCAGAAGAAUGCCUUUGCCACCCAUGCCUCUCUCCUCAUAGUGGUCAUCAUCCAUUAUGGCUGUGUUCCAAUCAUCUACCUAAAACCAAAAUCCCAGAGUUUGCUGGGGCAGGACAGCUCAUCUCAGUGACUUACACUGUCAUCACCCCUCUACUGAACCCAGUGGUGAACAGUUUGAGAAUCAUGAAGGUCAAAGUUGCUCUGCAAAAUACUGUGGGUCUUAGGUCUUCUUCC